UAUUGAAAGUGGAAGUAACCUGAGUAAAUAAUAAGUAAGUUUUGAUGAAUCUCAAUCAGUUUAAUUACAAAAUAAUUAAUUUUUGUGGUCGUGAAAAGAUAACAGUGUAAAAGGUAUUCUUUCUAACCUAGAAAAGUUGUUACUUCUGAUUUGAUCCCGUGGUCGGUGUUAAUUUCAAGAGAAAGUGGGGUGAGAUGGUAUUAUUGAAAACGGAAGUGGUGAGCAGAUAGACGCAACCUACAUGGUCGCAUCCACCAGCAAGUGACAAACUUCUACGUUUUAUCAAAUGUCAGCGAACCUGUGUAUCACAGCACAUUACAAAAACAGCGAUAUGUAUUUAUAGUCGAGCGUGAUAAAUAUUUAGUUACUUAUCGAAACAUUGGUCUUCUCGACGCUCUGUCACCGUUCUCUCGUUAUUAUUUCCUGCUCGAUAUUUGGGAAAAAUUUUCACUCGCAGGCUCUCUUCUUUUGUGGAAGCGAGCUGGCCUUUAAAAUUAUCAAGAUAGAAGAGUAUACAUGAGCAUAAAGGUCUGUUCUGCUCUAAUAAUAUCUGUCCUAGUAUUCAAGAUAAAAUCUACAUUUAAAUGCAUACAGAUUUAUACAUAUAUACUCUUGCGAUUCAUGAUCCAAGGAAAUACAAUCAAAAUACAAAAAAAAAGAAAAAAAAGAAAAUAAAAUAUAGGAAUCGCUGUAUAAUUCCCACGUGGAAGAUAUACAUAUAAAUUGCAACAGCGUUCACUGGGUAUGCAUGGCGCAUGACAUUAUUAUACAUUAGCUUCAUGAAACAAUAACACAACAUAUCAGGACAAAUUACUUCCGCCUUUAAAUUAUGAUCACGAUGCUGGUUGUGUUGCAGUUGCGAGAAGCCUGACGUGGCAAUAUUUGAAUUAUAUUGGAUACGCUGUUUUCCAUUACCGUUCUACGGAGGGGCUAAUAAAUCGAUAAAUGAUCCGACGUGCCGAAGCACCGAAACUUGAAGCUGUUUGUAAUAAAUUACAGACGACCAAACAAGUUGGAGAGCCGCACGAGGAGAGAGGAACAUUAGUAAUUUCUCAGUCAAUUGGUAAUUCAUUGCUACUUGCAUUUUGAAGACUUUUAUGGCACCACUUCUAGACCAGAGUUCUACGAGUCCCAACAUUCUCAUUAUCUGACAACGUGUUGGAUUGUCGCAAGUCGAGGAACAACAAUUGUAAUUUUCAGAGUAAGUUUCAUUCUACGCUGCAAUCGUGGCCAAGGAUGGAAAAGAGAGUACCGUUCUAUUCUCAGCAGGUCUUCUUAUAUUUUUGUCUAUGAUCCAAGAGAGUAGCUACUGGAAUUUGUCCUAUAAAUAACUGUUCACAGGUCACUUUAGGGAGACUAUUACUGACUCGAGUGUUAGCACUGCCUGAUUGACAGAUUCAUCCAAGGAAUGAGACACGAACCUAGGGUUCUAAGUUCGAAAGGCAAACUUCAAUAGACUUCAAUUCUCAAUCUUUUCUUUCUUCGAACAUGUGCGAAGUUAAAUUAUUUGGCGUGACAGUUAUACGUGAAGCAACUCGUACGUGAGGUAUACGAUAUUAUGAAAGAAUCCACGCGAUGGAAACCGAUAGAACUUUCCAUCUGAAACGGGGGAGGGGCAUGACGCAUUGUUCGUUAUGGAUGAAACGCUACGGAACGAAAGCCUAAUUAUAUCCGCCCGCUUCACUUUCUCGCCGAAUGCAUAAUCGAUCGGAGUUUGCUUGGUUUCCCAAGCCCACCAACGAUCAGAAGUAUCAUCCAGCGGUUUAUUAGGAAGAAAAUUGGUUCAUCCUCGCGGAAUGCGGUCCCAAGUUUGGCGCCAGCUUGUUUGUUGUAUGUAUGUACAACGACAGGCGAAACCGUUACUUCAAAACCAUUCGCAGAAGUCACGCGUUCUGAAUACGUAAAAGCAAAGUGUGUAGAAUUCAUUCGACCUGGCAGACCUGGUGUCGUGAAGAUAUUUUCAUAUAGAUCAUACUCAAACAGUGCCAGGGUAUUCCCCUGUUGUCGAGGAUCGAGCUGUUCUUUAACCCAGUUCUCCUCACUUUGUUGUUUGUGGCUGUAAUUUCGAAGCUUCAUUUUCGAAUUCAGCUGUCUUCAUCUCAUUUCUU